AUGGCUGAACCGCUGAAAGCUCACAUUCAACAUCCUCCUUUUUUGUUUCAGGAAAACGAGCUGCAUUGUGACCUCCUCCGCGUCGCCUCCCCGCUCCGCUCUCUCCUCGCCACGGCGCCCUACGCGCCCCCGGAGGGCUCCGACACCUCCGUCAAAUCCCUCCUCGCCUCACUCCUCCCGUCCCCCUCUGAACCCCCGACGGGCGGGGCCGGCAAGGAGGCCGUGGACCUCCUCCUCUUCUGCGCCACCGCCCGCGCGGCCUCCGCGGAGGCCCCCGCGCUGCACUGGGUCCCGGAGGGGCUCUCCAAGGCGGCCGCCGCAGCCAUGGAGGAGAUGGCGGCGAUGGGCGGGUGGGCCGGCAUCGGCGAGAUGUUGGUGGCCAUGAUGCCGGAGGCAGUGCUGCCGCUGAAGGCCGUGCUGAAGGACACGAGCGUGGACGCCAAUGAUGCCAUGAUGAUGGUUGGCGCCGUGAAGCCGCCCAAGGAGCACGCCUUUGUCGCUGCGCACCAGUUCCGUUGGCUGUUGUCUCAGGUUAAUUACCCCAAGCUUGGCGAUCUGUGCUGGUUAGUCAUUCCAUGUGCUUUGACGGCAUUGGAUCAUUGGUCACCGGAUGUUAAGAAUGUGAAAGUAACAGAAUUAAGUUUGUAUGAAGAUGCAAUACUGGAUGCUUGUUGCCAUAACAUUCCUGCAGAUGAUGAGUUAUAUGGUAUCGUGUUAUUGAGGUACGACCGCGUACUUUCUGAGAUGUUGGGACACCUGGAACGGCAACCACUAAACAAAGAACGUCGUGUUGCAUGGCUUACCCUUAUCGGGCCAGUUUUGGAUGCUAUGGGCCUCUUCCUGUUGGCACAUUUUCGUCUCCUGUUCUCUCUAUUUUUCCAAUGGAUGCAUGCUGAUGAUGAUAGAACAGUUCUUCUGGUGUUAGAGCGAAUUCAUAUAGUUAUUAAGCUCACCUGGAUCAGGAAGUCGCCCUACACUUCAAGACUGGUGGAUGAGCUUGUUCUUUUGUAUAAGGAGUCGGCCAUGAGAAAGAGCCAUGAGAUCAUGCGAAAUCACAUAAUGGAUAUACUCAUGCUACUCCAGAAAUGCAAGGGACAGCAGUUUGAGGAAGCUUGGAAGAAGCAUGAAGCUGACCCAGAUUUAACAUUGCUGCUAUCCCGUUUCAAACAACUUUGCACCGGAGAUCAUUCGCCAGAAUUCUGA
rnacentral:rRNA from 1 species